rnacentral:rRNA from 1 species
UACGAAGGGGGCUAGCGUUGCUCGGAAUCACUGGGCGUAAAGCGCACGUAGGCGGAUUGUUAAGUCAGGGGUGAAAUCCUGGAGCUCAACUCCAGAACUGCCUUUGAUACUGGCGAUCUUGAGUCCGGGGAGAGGUGAGUGGAACUGCGAGUGUAGAGGUGAAAUGCGUAGAUAUUGGGAGGAACACCAGUGGCGAAGGCGGCUCACUGGACCGGAACUGACGCUGAGGCACGAAAGCGUGGGGAGCAAACAGG